rnacentral:rRNA from 1 species
CAAUAGCGUAUAUUUAAGUUGUUGCAGUUAAAAAGCUCGUAGUCGGAUUUUGGCUGAGAACGGUCGGUCCGCCGUUAGGUGUGCACUGAUUGGUCUCAGCUUCCUGGUGAGGAGGUGUGCUUCACGGCCACUUAGUCACCGUGGUUACUUUGAAAAAAUUAGAGUGUUCAAAGCGGGCUUACGCUUGAAUAUAUUAGCAUGGAAUAACACCAUAGGACUCCUGUCCUAUUUCGUUGGUCACGGGACGGGAGUAAUGAUUAAGAGGAACAGUUGGGGGCAUUCGUAUUUCAUUGUCAGAGGUGAAAUUCUUGGAUUUAUGAAAGACGAACUUCUGCGAAAGCAUUUGCCAAGGAUGUUUUCAUUGA